AUGGCGCGCGGUCUUCUGGAGGUGCAUCUGGUCCACGCCAAGGGCCUCUCCGGCACCGAUUUCCUCGGGAAGGUCGACCCGUAUGUGGUGGUGCAGUACCGGAGCCAGGAGCGCAAGAGCACCACCGCCCGAGAUGCGGGGAGGAACCCGAGCUGGAAUGAGGUCUUCAGAUUCCAGAUCAACUCCUCCGCGGCCAAUGUGCAAGAAAAGCUCUUCUUGCGGAUCAUGGACCGCGACAACCUCUCCAGGGACGACUUCCUCGGCCAAGCAACGAUCAAUGUGACCGACCUGAUCAGCAUGGGCAUGGAGAGCGGCACCUCGCGGCUGAACCCGGCCAAGUACAGGGUGGUCACCGCCGACAACUCGUACCACGGCGAGAUCAAGAUCGGCAUCACCUUCACCGCUGCAAAGGUAAAGACAGGCGCGCAUUUUUCUGAUUUUGUACAUGGCUGGCCAGCCUCUGUCGAUCUCUUGUGGACUAGUGUGAGUUCUGAUUGGGUGUUGAUGCCCAUUGCCAGGUUGAAGAAGACGGAGCACAGGUUGGAGGCUGGGUGCAGAGCUUUCGUGGGCUGA
rnacentral:rRNA from 1 species